rnacentral:rRNA from 1 species
UACGUAGGGGGCAAGCGUUGUCCGGAUUUAUUGGGCGUAAAGAGCGUGUAGGCGGCUUUACAGGUCCGUUGUGAAAACUCGAGGCUCAACCUCGAGACGCCGGUGGAAACCGUAAAGCUAGAGUCCGAAGAGGAGAGUGGAAUUCCUGGUGUAGCGGUGAAAUGCGCAGAUAUCAGGAAGAACACCCGUGGCGAAGGCGGCUCUCUGGGACGGUACUGACGCUGAGACGCGAAAGCGUGGGGAGCGAACAGG